GCCGAAGUGGUGAAACUGGCAGACACGCAGGAUUUAGGUUCCUGUGCCGCAGGGCGUGAGGGUUCGAGUCCCUUCUUCGGCA
rnacentral:tRNA from 1 species